rnacentral:lncRNA from 1 species
CGGGCCCGCAAGGCUGCAGCCCCUGGAAGACGUUCCACGGGCGGAGAACAGUCGGGAGAGCCCGGCUAUGGACAGUCAGGAGGACCUGACUCUGGUUUUCUGGAACAAAGGAGAUGGAAUGCUCCUUUUACCUAGGCGGGAGUGGACGAGGAAUCCCACUCCGUCAGAGGUCGAGUUCGGCUGCCUAUUUAAAUAUAGGCACGGACAAGUGUGCUUAGUCGUUAGGACAAGAGGACACUCUGGAAUCCUGUUGGGAGGUGGAAUCAGAUGGUCCAUCUCAUCCCAAAAGCAGCUAAGGUUAAGCUGCAGUUUGGGCCACGUACUGAAGGUACCAGACAUCUGUGAAAGUUGGUUAUAAGAUGCUUUGUCUUGGUCUUGUUUGUCUGGCUUGUUUUCUGUGGUAUUGUCGAGUGUCUUUUUGGCUUUUGUUUCGUUUUUGAAUUUUGGACUGACGACUGUGUUCGAAUUUGGACUGACGACUGUGUUUAAAAUCUUGGACUGAUGACUGUGUUUAAAAUCAUGAAACUGUUUGCUUUGUUCGUCAAAGAGUUUUACUUGGUCCUCUUGGUGCUUAAGUUAAGAGUUAAAAAUAAUUUGCUUGAGAGAAAUUGUUUUCUGCCAGGGAGUUUUGUCUUUCUCUCUUGAGCCUCCUCCCCAAGGAGAGAGGCCCCUCCCUUUACUCCCCUUGAUCAGCCUAGCUGCUGUUAACAGUUGUGUAAACAGACAUUAACAAAAACCUUGAGGACAAAACCUCUCAUAAAUAAAAAAGUUCCCCAGAUUAGGCCUCCGGUAUGAAACAAGUAUAGUGAGUAAGAAACUUAAUUUUAUGGACCCCGCUCUAGUGGCAGUGUGUUGGUUGAUAGCCAACGUUAAUUUUUAAAACAUAGUGUUUUAUCUGUGCUUGUGCUCGCAGCACACAGUAGGGGGGAGCGAAAUUAGCUGCGGAGCUGCUGCAGCGAGCAUGGGGACUUCUCAAGUCUCA